rnacentral:lncRNA from 1 species
UUUCAUUCGCAAGCUUCUCAACUCUUAAAGCUAUUUGCACCACCUCUUUAGCUAUGAUUGCGUCCGACGCACCCAUAAAAGAAAUGUAACCAUGUUACCUAGCCUUUUUAAGCUUCUUAGAAAUAGACACAUCCAACACUAGUGGUGGGACAGAAGGUGGGGGUGGUGGUACUGAAAAAACAGCUAGAGGAAUUGUAGGAAAAGCUUGACCAGCUUGAGCCUGGUCAGCCAUAGUAGUAAAGAAGGCUGCCAAUGCCUGAACUGCCUCAAGAGGCAUGGCAGGAAUACUAGUAGGUGGUGGAGGAGGUGGAGGA